rnacentral:rRNA from 1 species
UACGUAGGGUGCAAGCGUUAAUCGGAAUUACUGGGCGUAAAGCGUGCGCAGGCGGUUCGUUGUGUCGGCGGUGAAAGCCCCGGGCUUAACCUGGGAAUGGCCGUUGAAACUGGCGAACUGGAGUGUGGCAGAGGGGGGUGGAAUUCCGCAUGUAGCAGUGAAAUGCGUAGAGAUGCGGAGGAACACCGAUGGCGAAGGCAGCCCCCUGGGCUAACACUGACGCUCAGGCACGAAAGCGUGGGGAGCAAACAGG